rnacentral:snRNA from 1 species
AGAUGUGAGGGCGACCUGGCUGCAACAUCUGUCAACCAUUGAUUGCUUGAUUUUGAGUGUUGAUUCAGCUGAUCUGGCUGGUUAGGUGGAUGUCCCCUUCCUCUCUCACCACUUCAUGUACGUCUCUCCUGAAGCUGUUCACUCGGUCAAGGAGGAUGGCCUUCCUGGAAUAGAGAUGGACCAGUAUUUGGUCAAGGGCAUACGAGUAGCUGUGAUCCCCUGCUAGAACCCCCGAACAAGCUCUCUGAUGCCCACCUCCUUUUUUCCUAUUUUAUUUAAUAGAACAGAGAGAAAUUGAGAGAGAAAGGGUAGAUAGAGAGAAUGAGAGAAAGAGAGACUGAAGCUGCCCCCCUGCAGGUGUGCACUGGGAAUUUGAACUCGGAU